GACUGAGCAACUGCUAGAUCCUUGGACUUCCAUCCACAGCUGCUGCUGAUCAUUGUCGGGAGUCGGACUACAGACUGCUUUAUCAUGAUUUAUCUCCAUCGUCAUCAUCAUCAUCACUGUCACCACCACUACUAUGUUCUAAGAUACUACUCAAGGAAGAAUGUUGCUUGCUUUUUGUUGGGACCGUGAUGGACUUUCACCCUACCAUACCCCUCGGUGCUGAAGCUGGACUCUAUAUAUCCCAAGGCUCACACAGUCUCCGAAGUUGCAGUCCGCCCCGUCUGUUUUAACCUAAGCUUGUGAGAGCAUCUCUUCUGCUCAAUUAGUGUUGCUGCAGAAUACCAUUUCCUCCUGUGGCUGAUAAAAUAUUAAUCAAAAACAGGAACUGAGCAAUUUCUCGGGGUGGAUGUCUUCUAAUGGUAAUACAGGGCGGCAAAGAGAGAUCUAGAGGUCGUUUAACAGUGACUGAGGAGGCAGGGGAGAGUGACAUGGGACUAGGGAGAUGGCAAGAGCAGCCCAAGGGUCAGGAGAGUUGUUGCCACCCAACACGGGAGAGAACCGGAGGCCCGCAUACCGUGGUUCCUGCCAGGCCAGAGGAACGGUCUAAAUAAAGGAUGGGUUUUGUUGCUGCCAAAGAAUGACAAAGACACCAGGAUGUUGGCUGUUUGUGUUUUUAAUCUGAACUUCAUUCUUCUGCCCCUUGUGGGUUUCAUGACUGCGCUUCCUGCCUUAGUAAAUAAAGGCCAUACAGCAGAGAUGGGUGAAUCUCAACUGUCCUGAGUUUGUGAUGUCUGUUUUCUGUUUCCUUCUGUCUCUUCCCUCCAUGGCCAUGCACAGGGGAGUGAAAAGAACACAGCUUCAGGUAAACCCAACAUGGGAGCACAACUGGGUUCCGUCAAAUCGCUUCUUCUCCCCGACCCUGGACUUCCUGAAUCGCCCCUACAACUGUCGUUCUCCCCGUCGAGAACCAAAAGCAUGUUAACACCUUGGAAGACCUAGGUGAACGCUUUCCACACUCCAUUACCCGACCCUGCCCCCACAAGCAUAUGUGCUCUCACAGGGCCACAGAGACUUAUUCCCAAAUAGGCUGAUGCCACCAAGAAUGCUCCUUUUUAAAUCAGUGACUGACUACUAUCUGAUACUUUGAGAAAUCCAGCUGUGGGAAAGAGCUAAGCAACCCAACCUGAGAACCCAGUAUCACUAAUGCUUACCUUAGAUGAUAAGAUACACGCCUUUUUUCGUUAGUGCCAUUUCAGAUGUUCAAGUGGAAAAAUCUAUGCCAAAGUCCCAAACUCUGAUAACACCAGAAUCUGGAACUCUGGCCCUCAGUAUUGGCUACAACGGACUUUCCAUUUGUUCUCGUGCAAUACGGGGGCAAGUGUAAAGCAUUUUGAGAACGCCUAUGAAGUCAGAAACUGGCACAGCAUACUCCCUAAAGAGGGCAAAUGUGUGUUUAGAAUUUAACUUAGAAAGAUGAGCGGGUUUACAUCACUGACGGGUGUGUAUGUCUGGUCUCUCCCUCAUGAGUAAAACUGUCCACCCAACAAAGGAUGGAGCCUAAAUAUAUAGGUAGUCUUCUAUAAUAUAGCUAGAUGUUAGCAGCACCAGAUUGGUCUACACCUUUGAUCGUUUUCUGCCUUCUCCACAUCCCUCCUCCUUUCUGACUCUUUCUUAGGACAGCCCAUCACCGCCUACUCCCUCACAGUGAAACACUGGGUUGAAAAGCAGAGACGAUCCACGAGAUGACCACUGAGGCUUCGCUAAGGUUCCCUGGCAUCAAUAAUCAAGUUGUGCGAGUGAGCCACCCAAGGUCUGGAGGCAAGGCUGUCAAUUCUUCACUGUGUACUCACACGCAGUGUGCUUCCUUGCCGGCUGCUUCUAGAACCAGCCGUCUCCUUGGUCCUGCCAACCCGUCUUCCACGAGGUGCCUAUUUGUCCAAGCAUCACUGCCCUGGCGCUCUCUGUGCCUUUUAUGUGUGAAUCACGGUGAAGCACAAACCCAUCAAUCUUCUAUCCCAUGCCAUCAAGGAGCCUCUCCCUGGACUCAGGAAGCUGAACUUCAGGGACUUUGGAUAAAAAGGAAGUCUCUCUAAGAAGACUGGGCCUGGUGAGGGCAAACCCCUUCACUCUGCAUGAGUGGCAGAUGCAGAGAUUCACGAUGCCGUCUUGGCAUUCUGUCCCGCACAGGGAACACCACUACCAUCCACUGCCCUCCCACCCAUGUCCCAUUCUCUGGACAAUCCUACUUGCCCAUGUUGCAUUUGUAUUUGUCUUUCUUGGCAUGAUAUUUUUUUGUUCUGCCCAAGCACCAGCAAGAUUAAGGAGUCCCCUCUCUGCUCUGUACGUGCGGAAUCAGCGAGCAGAGCCUAGGAAUUACCACCUGCUUCCUCAUCCUCAAAAAAAUGGAAUUGAAAGUCUUCGAGACAUUAAAACCAAUUAAUACUGUGAAAUGCUGCUCAAAUUACCCUCUUUAAUGUGUGUCCUCUUAAUUACCAUCUGCUUUUACAUCUAAAAACUUCACUCCCAGUGUUCCUGUCAUGAUUUUUGGCUCUUCUCACUACAGUCCAUUAGAAUGAUAAAAAGCCAUUUUAAAAGUUUAAAGUCUGGCUUAGCGAUCCCACACCUGGGAACACGCCCCAUCGGGGAAUCAAAGCAUCAGUCUAGACUGGGCAAGGGUGCUGACUACAUCACUAUUCAUGGCCUGCACAGAGGGAGAAACCUCAGACACCAAGUGAAAGCCCAACAGACUCUACUUGGGGGAUGGAUGUGGAAUCAGGAUAUAAUCACGGCAAGGAAUACUGUUCUCCUGCUUACGAGAAGAGCAAAAUUCAAAUCUUUAUGCAUAGACAGACCCUACAUUUUAUAUCAAGCAGGUGCGUGGGGGAGGGACUCAUAAAAGCCCUAUCUUAAUGCAUUCACACUGCCAUAACAAAAUGUCAUGCACAUGCAUACUCCGCCAGGGACUAGAAGUACAAGGUCAAAGUGCAGUAGAUUUGGUGUCUAUUUGGUCUACUCUAAGGGUGUGGAAGGCACCUCCUCACUUCAUGUGGUAGGAGAGGUGAGGAUCUUUCUCGUACUUCUUUUAAAAAAUUGUAGGUUUUCUUUGAGAAUUUCAUAUAUAUGUUUGAUCACAUUUACCGGCCACUCCCUGCUUCCCACUGUUCUGAAAUUUCCCCCAGGUCUCCCCGAAAUAUUACAUCCUUGAUCCAUGGUCCACUGAGUGGAACGGGUAUUGCCUGUAAGAAUGAACAAACCACCUGGACCCGUAUCCCCAAGGAAAAUGAACUCCCUCCACCCCAGCUCAACUGCCAAGAACCCCUCAGCUAGGGGAGGGGAGGGGAUUUCAAGUGUCCCUUCCCUUCCGGGGUGAAAUGUUGACUGGUUAGAUUGGGUAAAUCUUGUCCAGGCAACCAUAGGUACUAUGAAUGCCUGAUGUAAUGGCUCCGUCAUAUCCAGAAGACAUCUUUUUGUCCCAGUCUGCUCUGACUUCCGUCUCUUACAAUAGUCACACUCCCUAAUCCAGUGUGUUCCAUGAGCCUUAUGGGGAGGGAAUCUAUGACGACUCUACCCUAUGACUCAAUGACAUCCUAAAGACACCCCCAUGUGAAUUGGGAUUUCAACCCAUCAUUCUGAAUAAUGGAAAUAAACAUUCCAAUCAUAGUAAAUUCUAAGUAUAUGUAUACCACACACACACACACACACACACUCACACACACACUUGUGUGUGCACAAGAGUGUUUCAUAUACAUAUACCUAUAUGUGAUAUAUGCAUUCUACACAGAAUAGGAACAAACACGAAGUGUGGAGGAAGCAGAUUGCUGUGUUUUAUCCCACAUAGAGGGGUUUGAAAUGGACAAGGCAGGAAGAGUGAAAAGACUGGCCACAACAGGUGACCGAAGUGGUUAUCAGAAUACCGCACUGCUAACAGGAGAAACAAACCUCCAAGACCUGGGUAUCCCUCACUGUGUCUCAGAUGCCCAGCCCCUGAGCAAUGAAGCAUGAGCGCUUUUAAACCUCAUUCUUGGGCAACUAUGACUCCUGUUCCACAGAAGAGACAGUGGCGCACGGAUCAAGGUCAGGACCACUUGUACUUCAGAUGCUUCAGAGAGUGUCUCUGUCUCUCCCUAACCAUCCAAUGACAACCUCAAACCAGAACAACAGCUCAGCCAAAAUGAGAUUUACAACUUGGCCAGGAGUAAACAGUGUGAGAGAUCCAGCUCAGGAUACGUGAGAACUUCCUGAGAUUUUCUGUAUGGCGCACUCCACCUUUGCUAGGCCUACAGAAAAGCAUGCCUAUAGCACCACAGGAUAGUUGUGGAUGCUCUGGUACAGAACUGAAACGCUACUUUACGCUCAGUGAAGUCACACGCAAGGCACCUGUGACUUGGAGCUAAGGGAGAUCCCAGCCCUGGUAGGGAGCAGACACCGUUGGGCGGAAUGGAGGCCUUCAGAGGGAGAGGGCACACUUGCUGUGAGGCUGGGAACUUUUAUAUGUGGCUGGCCCAUUUCCCAGGACAUUCCUCGGCGCCUGGUACAUAGCUGACGUUUCUACGGUUUUCUUAAAUAAAUGGAAUCUGGGCACCUUGUGAAUAUGCCUUGUUGAUAUUAAAACUGUGAGUUUCUACUUGUGUAGAAAUGAAACAACACGGCCAAAAUUACUCCCGGGGGAACUGUGUAUGCUUUACGUAAAGAUAACUUUAAUAACGGCAGAUAUAAACCAGCAACAACUGCCACAUACUAAAGUCCAAUUAAAAGGCACCAUGCCAGGCCCUUUAAGGACGUAUUUCACGUUACUCUUGCAGGAUACCAAGAAGAUGCUAGAGCCCUUGGGCAAGAGCCAAGGAAUGGCUCCAAGAAAUGGGGGCCCCAAGAAUUUAAUAUCCUAGUUGAAGGAUGUCUAGCUAGUGGCAAGCGCACUGGAUACAAAGGCGGGGUGGUCCCUUAUCUGUCCACUCCAUCUCUGUGUGUACCUAAGUGUUCACUCACUGAUGAGGAGAAGAUUAAAAAGUACAGCAUCCUGAUCAAUUUCAGAGGAGCCUGUAAUCCAGCAACCCAGCGUCCUGGGGAGGGCUGGGGACUUGGAUAGGCGUAUUAAUACCAGGGGAUAUUUCAGUGUUGGCCUUCUCUGGACCACAACACGACAGUUACAGGAUCGAAACCCAACCGUAUCCUCAUCUCUGCUAGAUCCCAUAAUGAUUCAGCAGACAUUCAUUAAGACACCAUUAUGAUAUCAUGUCAAAAUACAUAUACUGGGUAGGGCAAGACGUGUGCACUUAAAGCACAGCUCAAAACAAUUCUAGUUCUGGCAAUUUUCAGUGGCUCAUCCUAUUCCACCUCUGUGGAUACUUACACUAGGAGACCAAGAACAGUGUGUGCACGGGGGUGGGGGGUGAGGGGAGGGUCGGGGGCAUCGUGUGUGCAUGUGUGUGAUACUAGUUUAGCAGGGAGAAGGUAGGGUAUUCAGUUACAUCUGAUACAUAUUUUGUCAGAGUAAAAGUAAUUCAAUAGCAGAUGAGGUGUUCCACGUUACGUCAGAUUCGGGAGUAUCAUUCACGCUACUAUAAAUCUGAUCUAAGAGUUUAAUACUAGAAGAUAUCUGGUUCAUAUUUGAAGGACGGCCACCCCGGUUUCCUAAAUAAGAAAUGCAUGUAGGAUUUGCGUAUGUGUGUGAAGCUUUAAAAUAUACACAUAGAAAGCCAAUAGAUAAUGUAGUGUAAAUCAAAUCAAGUUCACCACCACUGGGGAGGAGGAAAGAUGGCUUCUUACAAAUCAGACCCAUGUGUCCAGAAAGAUGGCAAGAGCAAAGGCAGCAGAAUACAGAGUGAGUCCUCAUCUGUGGCUUGUACUCAGCUACAGAUGGCAUCGUGCGCCUGGUCUUCAAGUUCUAGGAUGGAGCCAUGGCCUCCUCUCCUGUCCAGGCGUUCAAUGCCUUGACAUGGAUUUUUUUUUAAUAGUCUAAAUUUUAAAAUAUUGAAAUGAAGUAGCCUCAAGAAAGUGUUUAUGUUUAAAUUAUGUUAAGUAAGUAUUCUUUCAGCUAGACAUUUGCCUAUUCAUAUAUGUGUGUGUGACUCCUGUUUCGCAGAAGAGACAGUACACACACACACACAUACACAUAGAUACGUGCAUAUAUACAUAAUUGACUGGGGAGGGAGCUUGAAGGGAUUAUAGAGGUGGUUUAUGUCCAAAAGAGAGAAGGAUUGUGCUUAAGGAACAAGAGAAUCGGCAGGCUAAGCCUAAUGACAUUGUUAACAUUUCAAGUCUAUACAAGGACUCCACGCUCACAGCAUGCUCCCGAAUGUCCCCAAACCUCCAAACACGAGAGUUGAAAAUAGCUACGCAAUUGCAAUGCAUUGUGAAGUAGCCAUAGUGAGGUGUAUCAUGCAGUUACAAGAAGGCAGGUGAUGGCUGUGUCCCUUGACCUGGAGGGAAUCGGGGAGACAAGCAGUGAGAAUCAGUUUAUGGCGCAUGGACAGGGCAGAGAAUAGGUUCAGCACAGAUGAACAUUAGGGGAGGGAGAAGAGCAAGAAUGACAAGGAGGGGCCUCCGGUGGCCUUUACCUGUAGGCCCUGGCCAGCCAGGAUGGCUAGCUUGGAGACUGUGGGAUGGGGCAGGUUUUGUCCUUGAAUAUUGGCAUGUAGUCCUUGGCUCUGAGAAGUACAUUUGCUCCUUUAAUUGUGAGAAGAUGUUAAUUGAAGAGAGAGGGGAAGAAAAAGAAGAGGAAGAGGAGGAAGAGGAAGAACAGGAGGAAGAGGCAGAGAAUGAAGUAGAGGAGGAAGAAGAGGAGAAAGAGAAGGAGGAAGAGGAGGGGGAGGAAAGGAGAAAGAGAGGAAGAGAGGAAGAGAGGAAGAGAGGAGAGAAACAAAAAACAAAAGAGCUUGCUGGUCAAAGGCCACACUCCAUCAGGAGUCUUUCAACUUUGCCAACUUGGCCAAACUGGGGCACUCUGACAUUGUGUCACAGGAAUGUGCUGACUUAUUAGGGAAGAACACUUUCUCCAAAGCCACCUUCCCAGAAGAAUGAGGGCCGCAAGUGCUGAGCCUGCAGAGGAGCCAGGCGGAGCCGGCAGGUGCUAAGGCAGGUGCGGAAGCCACUCAGACAGAGACCGCGAUGCCAGAAAGCUGACAGGAAUUUUCCAGUUCUCUAAGCUCCAAGAGCAGAUGAACAGGGGGGUCUGCGGGUCUGCUGAGGCUCCCGCAGAGAAGCCCAGGCCCUGUGCAGGUCACCCACUGCCCCCGGGGUCCUCUUAAGGGAGGUGACCACAGAGCAAGUUACUAGAGGUGAAUAAGCAAGCAAGAAGAGCUUUCUGCCCAUCUACGCGUUGUUUUCAAACAGAAUGCAGCUUAGCUUGCCUGGCAUGCAGGGAGCUCCUACUAGAUUCUUCUGUCCUUACCAAAACUUGUAUCUUAAUCCCCCUCCCAAUGUGCCAUCUUGUUUUUCAAUAAAAGUGACAUUCACUACAGAAAAUGAUCAAUAACAGAAAAAACAAUGUGUUUCCCCCAUUUUUGAGCGUGUGCGUGUACAUGUGUGUGCGUGUGUAAGUAUGUACUUGCAUGCUAUAUCUGGAGGCCUAAAGAUGUCAGGAACCCCUCUUCCACCUUCUUCAUUAAGGCAAGGUCUCUCAAUCAAACCCAGAGCUAUCCCAGAUGGUCUUGCUACCUAGCUUGCCCUGGGGAUCCCUGCCUUCUGAGGGUGAAAUUCCAGAAGGGCCAUCAUGGUCCAUCCAGGAGUUACACGGAUCCUGGGGAACCCAAACUCCUGUCCUCACUUUAAUCACUGAGCCAUCUCUAGCCCCAAGGGGAAAAAAAUGAAUGGCAAAAUGCCUGUUAUUCCCACACCACAGAUUAUAGCUGACUUACUAGCGUCAUAUCCCUGGCUCGUCCACAGCAGGGGCACAUCAGAGCUGUCUAGUCAGUGACUGCGAAGAGGAAGGAAGCAGAUAGAUCACCCAGGGUGAUAUUAUCUAUGUCUAUCUCCGUUCUAUUCCUGCAUUUUUAUACAGCCUGGCAACCCCCUAUACUCUGUUCCUUUUAAAUUGCUGGUUUCGCUUAAUAAUAUAUAACAAGACUUCCACUGAUAUUCGGGGCACUGGGGCCUCUCUAUUUGGUCCUGGGACAAGCAGUGAUGCAGUGCACUUAGUUGGUCAGACAGUGGCUACUGGUGGCAAGUGGCAGCUCGGGAGGGUGGUCACAUUUUCUCUAACUGUGCCAGAGAAGCCAUGGGGAGGUCAGCGUCACUUUGACUUUUUUUUUUUUCUAUCUUACUAAAUGGCUUAUACCACCAUAUCUCCUUGUGUGUAAUUCUAUGCAUACUUGUACAUGCAUAUGAAUUCUUCCAGAUGAAUUAAUAGUGCAAAUACGCCAAGGAGAAAAAUGUGACAGAUCUUUUAGUGAACUCAUAUGCUGGUCCUGGACAAGGGUAUGCACACACACACAUACACACACACACACACACACACACACACACACACACACACGUUCUCAAGCACACAUACUCCGUUGCAGCUGUUGCACGUAAUUAAUGUGCUAAUUAUACAUAAUUAUCUAAUUACUAAAAGAAGGAGUCAAAGCAAGUGCGGUAGUGAAGAUAUCAAAGUCUGCUCCUUCUAGAAUGUUCUACGGCUUGGGCUGUCUUGCUGAACUGGAAAGUCACGCUGCCUGCGCCCCACUCCCUGAGGGCUCUGUGCAGAGAGAUACCCAGGGACCACUGCGAACUGGGUGACACGGCAUCAUCCAUUUUCAGGAGAGGUUUGUUUAUGAACAUCACACGGAAUAGCGUUGUAUUCCUUGCAGUGCUGUGGGACCCAGGACCUGUAACAGGUCCGUGGGCAUGAAGAGGUUUCCAAACUCCUGUUCUCAAGAAUGUAGGUGGUUAUAUCAGUUUGAACGGCAGCAUUCUCCUGGACCCUAGGUGGUUUGUCUGAGGCUGGCUCUGAUAAGCACACAGGAAAUUCUCCUCCUCCUCCUCCUCCUCCUCCUCCUCCUCAUCAUCAUCAUCAUCAUCAUCAUCAUCAUCACCAUCACAGGUGUGCAGUGGUAAGUGAACGGCUACAGAAAACUAUCUGGGACAUGUUGUCAGUCCUUGCCUGUAACUGAGGUAGGUGACAAUGACCUGGUGAGCACUGAAGUUCUGAAAAGCUUUCUCUCUUGAAUCCUUUUCCCCACCUGCCCAUCUGUAAAGGUCAGGGGGAGCCACGGCAACCCAGGCCAGACGACUGCAAUCCCCCAUGGGCCAUCCAGAUAACUGCUGUCCCCUACAGACCGUUCAGAUGACUGCCAUCUCCUAUAGACGGUUCACUCAUCUUAACAUGAAGCUUUUCACUGAGCCCAAAGGAAACACUUUACAGUAAGGAGACGGAGACACUGGGAAGCCUCAGACUUGAUGGAACACAAGGACCACAGCGCUCUACACAGGCUAUAGAUACACUGUCUCACCCCUGCCUUCUGGGAGUAAAUUACUCUCUCUCUGUUUCUCUUUCUGUCUCUGUCUCUCUCUCUCUCUCCCCUCUUUCUCUCUCUCUUUCCCUCUCUCUCUCUGCACAUAUAUGUGCAUAUAUGAUAUACAUAUAUAUAUACAUAUGUGUAUAUAUCUGUACAUAUGUGUAUGUAUAUAUACAUACAUAUAUAUAUAUAUAUAUAUUUACACAGUGAGAUGUAUACAUAGAUGUGUGUAUACACACACAUAUCUAUCUAUCUAUCUAUCUAUCUAUCUAUCUAUCUAUCUAUCUAUCUAUCUAUUGAGGUGGGAGACUCUAUAGAGCAGGCUGGCCUUGAACUCACUAUACAGCCCAGGCUAGAUGCAAAUUUAACCUUCUUCUGCCCCAGUAUCUUGACUGCUGGGAUCAAGGGCAUCCCUCACCAUGCCCUGUCCAAAUAAUUUAAUCUUGUGGCCAGUCCCGAUCCCAGGACAGAUUCAUUCCCUAUCUGAAGAGAAUGGCUGGCCAAGCCACAUGUUCACCUCUUCGAGGUGUAAUUUGUUGAUUUGACAACUCAUAGUCCUGCCUUUCCCCAAAACAUGAUUCAAAGCACCCCCACACCCUUUAGUGCUACCAACAGGGCACAAUGGACCAUGACAAGCAGAAGGAAAGAAAACACAAGCCAGCUGGAGCCUCGGAAGGCGCAUGCUCCUUACUUUUACUAUUUAACUUUACCUUUUAAUCCUGGGCCGUAAAAACUGUCCUAAUAAAAGAUCCAUAAAUAUCUCUGGAAUGCGCAGCCAAGAGGCUUUGAUGGCCCAGGAGCAUAUGCUAAGCUCCCCUUCUCUCUCUUCUGUCGGGAUAAGUACUGGGCUGCCGGAGGGGGCAGGCUGGGUGGAAGGAAAAAUCCAAAUUGCCUAGGAUGAACAAUUAUCCAUAUGUAUAUAUUAUAAUUACAUAUAAUAUAAAAUAUUAUAUAAAUAUAGAUUAUGUAAACUAUAUCAUACUGCAUUACUUAACACAUGACUAUAUAUGAGAAUACAGCCGCAGCCUAGGAGACUCAGUAUAUUCUGAUUCACAAAUCUCUUUUCCUAUAGUUUCACUCUUCAGAGAGCAAGGGCUCCAUUUAUAUUUGUUAAGUGAAUAAAUGAAUGAACAAAUGAAUGAAUGAAUGAAUGGGCUUGAUUAGAAUAUUGUUCUUUUUAAAAAUAAAGUGUUAGAUUUAUUUUAUUUUCUGUGUUUGGCAGUUUUGCCUGCACAUAUGUAUGUGCACCACAUGCAUGCCUGGGGCCCUGUCAUAAGAGGGUAUCAGAUCCCCUGGAACUGAGGUCUCAGACGGUCAUGAACCACCACGCAGGUUCUGAGAACCACACCUAGGUCCUCUGUAAGAGCGAGAAGUGCUCUUAACCACUGAGUCAUCUCUCCAGCCUCAAACAGUGUUCCUUUAAGUUCUAUUUCUAAUUAUGCAUUGGCUCUUAAGUAAAUACAAUUACCAAAUAAUUAAGAAUUAGAUAUGGGCUUUCUUGAACACAUUUAAUUUUCCUUAAGAAUGCCUCCCUUCCUCUUUCUCUCUCUCCCUUUUUUAGUUAGGAGCACAGAAGAUUUUAUUUUCCUACCAGCUUCUUCCAAGUUUAAAUUCUGGAAAUAAGCCUGCGUUUUUAAUAACCUUAUCAUUAGAGCAUCUUUCUGUAUGAACUGUUCACGAGGAGUGGCCUUUAUAAUGUGAUAUAGAAAUGCAAGUUUAUAGGAGUUUGCCAUUUAAACUACUAAAGACAUGCCUUUUCAUCUAUUUCUAUGGGCUCUUCUUCCCUUUUGCCAAUGCACACUAUGCUGAGAGAAUUCUGCAGGGCCACCUUCCUUGUCGUGAUAUCGUGACUACCACGACGCCCAGGGCUGUGCAGAUGCAAGUUAUAUCUGUGAACUGCAGAGUCUUAGACAGAACCCGCUCCCUGUGAUGCGGUGUUUCUGACAGUCACUGAUCUUGUCAGCGUACGUACUCUUCCUUUUUGUGUGGACAGUGGAGUCCUGAGAGCCCAUCUUCCCCAUUUCCAGGGCAAGAUUGUGGGAGAGCAGGAGCUGUGCAACCCAGCACUAAGCAUAACCUGUCAUAAACGGCACGCGGUGCUUAGUAUUCAGAACAAGACAUCUCUGUCUCAUUCUCGAAGACCCUUUUGACAAAAGCCAUCUCGCAGCUGCCAGGAGUAUCGAGUCCAGCUGAGGACAAACUUCAAGAUGAACCUGAAAUCAAUUGGCCAUCAAAUUUUCAUGCCUCUCCCAGACUAUCUGUGGCAUUUUAAUUACAAGCACCCUCGGCGGGGGGUGCUACAGAUAUUGACACUUGGCUCCUACAAUAAACUUUAUUGGCAACCUCUGUCUGCAUGCAGGACUUGCCUAGAAUAACAAGAAAUGUAUGAGAAGCAGGAGUGGAGUGCAAUUGCUCAAAAUCACCCCCCUCCCCUCCCCUGAAAGGGGACUAGGCAUUACUUGGCACGAGCGAUAGGACAAGGAAUGAUCUGAGUUGGAUAAAUGACUGGGUGUGGAGAGAUGGGUCAGUGGCAAAGCACGUGCCACAAGGGUGAGGGGCUGAGUUUAGCUUUAAGAAACCCAUGGAGAGCCAAAUGUGAGAGCACAUGUUUAUACUCCCAGUGGAUGGUGCUGAGUUGGGAGGUAGAGACAGGAGACUCCCUAGAAAGCUCACCAGCCACCAGAAAGCUGGUGGACGUUAAGGAGGGCCAAUAUCUGAGGUUGACUUGUGCUCUCCACAUGUGCACUCUGUGGCACAUACGUCCUUGCACACAUGAAGAGGUAAGCAUGCACACACAGGCACAUGUGCACAGACAAUGUGCACUUAAUCUUCAGAUUACACGUGCUGCCAUGUCCUAGGAGUCCUAGGGUACCUGCCUAUGGCACAGCAGAGUGUCAUCUUGCUUUCUUCUGUAUGGGAUGAGUAUUGCUGAAAUACAUCAUUCCCCAGCCCUUCAAAGGACAGAAUGGACCAAAGGCCAUAGGCUUGAGUUAAGGGAAUGGAAUCACUCACUGCUGGUGGUCGGGCAGUCUGUGUGUUGGGUUGGUAGACAUCUAUCUACUUCAGGAGCAAGAGAAGCCAGCCUCUGACAUUUCCUCGCUUUGGCCCCGGCUGUUAGAUGGGCUGUAAAUAUCAAGAGGAAGUCAAGGAGACCUUGUGAUUCGCCAGCCACAAAGGAUCCUUGCUCUGUGAAAAGUAAGGACUUUAGAACUGCAGGCUUGAAGCUGAGCACUCCUCAGCAGGGAGUGGGGGUGGGGAGUUGGGACAAAGGUUACAGCAUUGUUGUGUCUCCCAGUGUCACAGACGCUCAGGCACAAUCCUGCAGCUGCCUGAUACGGACCCAAUAUUCUGAUAAAUAUAACAACUGGCUUUCUGAAAACAAGAGAGAGCGUAUGAACAGGUACACGGGGCUGUCACACACUCUCUAGUGCAAAGGACAACUGGUGUGGCCUUUAUCAGUAAGAGACAUGCAAAACUGUUUGUUACAAAUGCCACACAGCCAACUGAGGCUCAAGGGAAGCUUUUAUUGAUUUGUGACAAACACUUGUAUCCAGAGCUGAGCUAUGGCCCAGCCUGGGGAGCAAGUGACAACCCCUCUGAGUGUGGCUUGAUGAUUCAGAGUGAAUCACUUAGUGUGAACACUGAGACAUGUACUCUGGCAUUCCACACAUUCUUCCAUUGUGCGAGUGAAUUCUUCGCUGGAUUGGAUAAGUCAGUUUUUAAUUCGGUGUUCUGUGCGUUCAUGAUGUAAUAGGUACAGGUAUGUUAGUUAGCCUACAACCUAUUCUGCAAUGGGAACAUUGUAACCACUUUCUCCAUUAAGACCACAUAGAUAAAGCAAUCUUGCUUCCCUGUGUAGGUUUUGCCCAUUCCUGUGGGGCAAAUAUGCCUGCCAUGGCUGCUCUCAAGACAUCAAGGCAAUAUCCUUAAACACAGGGUCUGAUUGUGUUUACAUCUUUCCACUAUUUGGAACGCAAUGGACCUCGGAAGUCUCUUUACCAACCUUUCAACUUUAGGACAUGAUUUUGCCAUCUACAGAGUUCUCGGUAGAGAACCACGACCUUGAGUCACGAAACAAAAUUUUCAAAAAAACGGUAUCUUCAAACACUCGAAGUGGGCGUUUGAGUUUGUUUUGGGAAGCAUUUACAUCUAUCCUUGGCCCAGCUUGACCCCGCGGCCACAAGCUGGACUUGGCUACAAAAGCACUGGUAAUGGUCAGAUGUGGUUUCAAGAAAAGAAAAAUGCAGGAAGCACAGAGCUCUGAUAUUAAUUGAAUAACUCAGUUACUGCAUAGCCCCAGGGCCAUGUAGGGAGAGAGUUCCCUUCAGAGUGAACAUAGUGGGCAUUAUACAAAAGUACACAAGUAGACACACACACACACACACCAGGAGAUUCUGCCAACAAACCCCUGUGUUGUCAUCUUACAGACAGGGACCCUUUGAAACACAGGCUGGUGAUCAAUGCCUGAAAUACAACAGCAGAAGAUUAUCAGAAAGUUGUAUCUGGAAGAGUUGGUAGGCCCACAAAGAAAGUGGGAAGAAUAGACCCCACUAUAGAGAGUAGUCAACUGCAGUCCCCGUUGACAGGGCUAUCAAUAGACGGCCUCCCCACUAGCUUUUGUCUACUCCUUAGAGGGUUUUGCUUUGUUUUGUUUUAAUAAGAAACAAUCACGGAGCUGGAGAGAUGGCUGAAUGGUUAGAGCACUCUCUGCUCCUGCAGAGGUUCGGUUCCCAACACCGCAUUGGAGAAUUUACAGUGAGCCGUAUCUCAAGCUUCAGAGAAUCUGCCCCCUCGACUGGUACCUCAUGUGCACAUACCCACACAUAGGCACAUAUAUGUGCACAUACUUAAAAGUUAAAUAAGUAUUUUUAAAUGAGAAAAAAAUCGCAAUCUUCUUGUGAAUUAUUUGCUAUCAUUACAAAGGCAAAAACAAUAUUGAUUCAUCAAGCUGAGACUGCUCUCUCUCUCUCUAGGCAGCCCACAGAGGAGGAGGAAGAAGAAGAGGAGGAGGAGGAGGAGGAGCAGCAGCAGGAGCAGCAGCAGCAGCAGCAGCAGCCGCCUCCUCCGCCAUCACCUCCGUGCAUCAUGUCUCAAUUCCAUGACACCACAUGCGGUUUCUGCAUGCUUUCCACAUGCAGUAUCAGGAGACAUCAUUUGUGCAGGCUUGACUAGGGAGGGACAGGACCACGGCAGGAUGCUGGUGCAGCCCCAGAUAGGAUGUCCACUGAAACACAGAUGCCAUGUGCCUGUUUCCUCAAGGAUAAGGGACCCGAUGUGACCCGCUGGGGGCUUGUUUGCAGGGAUCUGCAAAACCUCACAUCAGAGACACACAGAUUUAAUGAGCUGAGCACACUAGCCAUCUUCCAAAGCACUCCCAGGAGAGGGUGCAGCUGGGACACAUCUACAAGACGGGAACCAGAGUACCCUGGCACUUGUCCGAGACGGGGCCUGUUGGUUGCCUUUGCCAGUUGUAUCUGUGCCCCCCCCCCCCCCACGAUGGUCAGUUGCUCUAAAUAAAUAUCCGUGGUUCCUGGGCAUAACUCAGACUUUGCAUUUAAAAUUAGAUCUAUAGUGGCUUGGCCAAAAUUUGUGUGUGAGUGUGUGUGUGCACUCGAGAGUGUGCGUGUGUGCGUGCAUGCGCGCGAUGGGUAUGUAGCUGCCUGCAGAGGCCAGAGGAGCAUGUCAGAGUUCUUGGAGCUAGAGUUACAGGUGGUUAUGUGCUGCCUACUACGGGAGCUGGAAAGCAAACGUGGGUCAUUUAAAAGAAGAGCAAUGAGCACUCUUGAUGCUGAGCCACCUCUCCCGUCUUUGCUUUUUCUUCAGUACGGUUUUAUAUUUGUGUGCAUUUGUAGUGUGUAUAUGUAUGCGUGUGCACGUGAUGUUCACACCAAUUCCCCACAGAGUCAACAUUAGAUGUCUUCCUCUACUACUCUCUAUACAUGCCUUCCCCUACCCCUUUGAUUCAGUAUGCGCCAUUUCAGCUCAGUUGGCUGCCAGGGACCCUAGGAUCUGUCUCUAUCUCUACCUAGGUUUCCUCAGCUGGAGCCAAGUGCUCAGCCUUCUUAAGUGGGUUCUGGAGAUCUGACCUCAGGUUCUCAUGCUUAUUCAGCAAACAAUUUACCUGCUGAGCCACCUCCCCAAUCCUUUCAAAAUUAAUUUAUAUUCAGAUAUUAUUACCGUUACUUGUUCCUUUAAACAGAGCAGCACACAGAGAAAUCGCUAGUGUUCUCUUCUAUCAGAACACGGGCUGGUCCAGCCUACACAUUUGCUCAUGGUUGGGUGGACAGGUAGCAAGCAAUGCUAUCUGGGCUGACCUCUUCAUCUGAGAUCACCUUGUCUUCGUUAGAAGAAUCUUGCUUCUCCUGUGUGUUCCACAGUGGUACAGAACAGACAGGGCCCGAGUCUUACUGUAGAACAGGCCUCUGGUAAGUUAUAAUUAAUCAGCUUCAACCUUCUAACAGGAGCCAGCUGGUGAACGUGACAUUGCUGGAACUGGACAGGUGUGGCAGUGAGACACACGGUCCCUUGCCGGUCACAGGGUAUUCCAGUAGGUGGGUAGGACUGGGGAGAUUCUGAGCGCCCACCUCUGAGGACUGGACAGAGUAAAAUAAAAAAAGAGUGAAAGAUUCCCUUUCAUUUUUUUCUUCUUCUCUUUCUCAGGUUAAUAUGAAAUUUUAGGAGCACAGGAGCGAGACUUCCGGCUCGACAGAGCGGCUAAGUCACCGAGCCGACUUUUCUCUGAAGCAAAAGCGAUGUACAAUGUUGAUGUGUGCCAAGAACUCACUUGGGCAUGGGGCCAAGAGAAUGCGGCCUGUCAGUCGUCCGUGGGGGAACGAGAGAGCAGGGAGUCCAAGCACAUUUGGAGAGAUGCCUUACAGUUCUGAGGCAGCCUUUUCACGUCCACAGAAGCCCUGCCCCCCCCCCCCCCACCCAAACUCGAAACCUCUUGUUUCUGGCUCUGGGAGGCAGCUGUUGGCGAAGACAUACCUCUUUGGCAAACCAACGUCAUCCUCAAGCAGACCCUGUGGUGUGAGGGGUCUGGAAGGGGCCAGGCCAAGGUGGUAAACCUUCCUACCAGAUCAUCUCUUGUCUCUUGCAUUCAGCCAAGGCAAUGUGCUCUGCAGAGCCAACCCUUGCCUGUCUCAGAAUCAUGACUUGCUUGUGACUAAGUAGAGGCUGAAUCGGCACCCUGAUCCCCCACACCCCCCCACACCCCCCAGAGCCCUGGAGUCCCCUCCACACCCCCCCCCCAGCCCUGGAGUCCCCUCCACCCGCUCUUUACAAAAUCAGUUCAUCUGGGUAAUUUUUAAAGCGCAGCACGUGGGCCAGCUGGAAUUGUUUGCCUCUUCCUGGCCAAAUGUUUGGGGCGCCUUCCAGCCUUCAGUCUACAUGCUGUGUGUGUGUGCUAGCAAGAUCUGGAAGGCACGUCCAGGACUGGGAAGGAGGGUGUUGCUGACCGCAGGACCCGCCAACUUCCCUAGGCAGGAAUGAGAAAGAAGCCUGCUCUUUUUAGGCAAGCCACUGUCAGGCAACACUGUCAGGCAGUGAUUCUCUGGGCUUGGAUAUUAAUGCUCACAUUCACUGGCUUCUGAGCUAAACCCCCCAUCCCAGAUCCUUAAAAAGAGAAGAUGAUUUUCCAGGGAAAGGAGUGUGUGUGUGUGUGUGUGUGUGUGUGUGUGUGUGUGUGUGUGUGUGUGUAUGUGUGUGUGUGUGUGUGUGUGUGAGCUUAUUUAUGCUGCUCUUAUCCAGAACAGGGCUGAUAGGAAAGUCACUGGACAAGGGUCUGCCUGGCAGGAUGCUGCCUGCCUUCCUUCUAGAAAGCAGGCUACUUAGAUAAGGUGCAGUAGUGGCAGAAGUCGCCUUGAACACUUGGCAAGUGUGUUCAUUUAGAAGGAAAUAAUACAAAGAGAAGGGCAGAAUAUUCUGUCUGCCUCCUCCCUCCAGCCACGGGGAAGGUAGAUAAUUAGACUUCAUUUACAAUCCAGAGCUUUCAAAAAUAAGACCUGUGUUGGUUAUUUAUUUAUUUAUUUUUAAAGAUCUUUUAACUUUGAAGUUCUGGAGAUUGGGGCGGGAAGCUGCCUUGUGUGAAAUGUGCCUGGCCUAUUGUACUUGGGGGAGUCGGAAAAAAAAAAAAAAAAAAAAAAAAAAAA